rnacentral:rRNA from 1 species
GAGUUUGAUCAUGGCUCAGAACGAACGCUGGCGGCAGGCCUAACACAUGCAAGUCGAACGCCCUCUUUCGGGAGGGAGUGGCGCACGGGUGAGUAACGCGUGGGAAUCUGCCCUUUGGUUCGGAAUAACCCUGGGAAACUAGGGCUAACGCCGGAUAAGCCCGAGAGGGGAAAGUUUACGCCGAAGGAGGAGCCCGCGUCCGAUUAGCUAGUUGGUGAGGUAAGAGCUUACCAAGGCGACGAUCGGUAGCUGGUCUGAGAGGACGAUCAGCCACACUGGGACUGAGACACGGCCCAGACUCCUACGGGAGGCAGCAGUGGGGAAUAUUGGACAAUGGGCGCAAGCCUGAUCCAGCCAUGCCGCGUGAGUGAUGAAGGCCUUCGGUUGUAA